rnacentral:rRNA from 1 species
AUGGGAUUAUAUAGUCUUCACGAAUCCCUUCAUCAUGAUAUUGUGAAGUACCAAUCCCGGUUAUUCUGGGCGGGAAAGGGAGACAAGCAAAAGUAUCAUAUGGUCAGAUGGUCGGAAAUUUGCAAACCCAAGGAACAAGGGGGCCUGAUAAUAAUUUCCUCCAAGCGGAUGGAUAUCGUGCUGCUAUCUAAGUGGCUUUGGCGGAUUGCAACCGGAGAAGGGGGUCUCUGGUUGGAUAUCAUCCAAGCAAAAUAUUUGCAAGGCCAACAUGUAGCAUUCGCUCUGUAA